UACGGAGGGUGCAAGCGUUGUCCGGAAUCAUUGGGCGUAAAGCGCGUGUAGGCGGCUCGAUAAGUCUGCUGUGAAAGUCCAGGGCUCAACCCUGGGAUGCCGGUGGAUACUGUCGAGCUCGAGUCCGGAAGAGGCGAGUGGAAUUCCUGGUGUAGCGGUGAAAUGCGCAGAUAUCAGGAGGAACACCAAUGGCGAAGGCAGCUCGCUGGGACGUGACUGACGCUGAGACGCGAAAGCGUGGGGAGCAAACAGG
rnacentral:rRNA from 1 species